CCGCCCAGUUAUACACGGGAGCAUAUACUCCCGGGAACCAAAACACCGCUCUCGGGAAAACAUACAUUAGCUUCUCUAAACACAUUCCAUCAAAACAUACACGGACCCAUUAUCACUAUGUGAUUAGGCCCUCGAGGUAUGUUAUCGUAUUACUUGUGGAUAGUUAUUGAAUUCAAAAUUAGAUCUCGCCUCAAACACGAAUGUAACUGCAUGAUUACUAUGGUGGUGAAUAUCACCUAACACAUUGAGCAAUUUGUGGCAUGUGCAACUCGUAACUAAAUUUGUGUGAUGUUGAUAACUACAUAAUCACUAUGUUGGUAAUUAUAGCAUGGGCACCAUGGUAACUGCAACACGAGUAGCAUGAUACCUACAACACAAGGAGCGUGAUAACUAAAGCAUAAUUAGCCUAGUAAUGUCAACAUGAUUAGUCUUAGCACGACCAGUCUGGACCUUUUUAAGCAUGAGUAGCUUGGUAUCUUUAGCAUGAGUAACCUGGUACCUACAUAAUUGAUAUGUUGGUAACUAUAGUAUGGCCAUCCUCAUAAAUGUAUGAUGAGUAACN
rnacentral:lncRNA from 1 species